rnacentral:rRNA from 1 species
GACGAACGCUGGCGGCGCGCCUAACACAUGCAAGUCGAACGGAGCUGAGAGGAGCUUGCUUUUCUCAGCUUAGUGGCGAACGGGUGAGUAACGCGUGAGUAACCUGCCCUGGAGUGGGGGACAACAGUUGGAAACGACUGCUAAUACCGCAUAAGCCCACGAUCCGGCAUCGGAUUGAGGGAAAAGGAUUUAUUCGCUUCAGGAUGGACUCGCGUCCAAUUAGCUAGUUGGUGAGGUAACGGCCCACCAAGGCGACGAUUGGUAGCCGGACUGAGAGGUUGAACGGCCACAUUGGGACUGAGACACGGCCCAGACUCCUACGGGAGGCAGCAGUGGGGGAUAUUGCACAAUGGGGGAAACCCUGAUGCAGCGACGCCGCGUGGAGGAAGAAGGUUUUCGGAUUGUAAACUCCUGUCGUUAGGGACGAUAAUGACGGUACCUAACAAGAAAG